rnacentral:misc_RNA from 1 species
UCCACCAACAAGCUGGUCUCCCUCUCAGAGCAGAACCUAAUGGACUGCUCCAAGAAACAAGGUAACAAAGGUUGCCAGGGAGGGUUGAUGGACAACGCCUUCAAAUACAUCGAGGAGAACAAGGGGAUCGACACAGAGCAAUCCUACCCAUACCGCGCCAAGAACGGUAAGUGCCACUUCAAGGCCUCUGACGUGGGCGCCACUGAGACGUCACACAAGGAUAUCCAGGAGGGCAGUGAGUCGGACCUUCAGCAGGCGGCCGCUACCAUUGGUCCAAUCUCUGUCGGCAUCGACGCAAGCCACUCCUCCUUCCAGCUCUACAGAAGCGGUGUCUACAACGAACCAAGAUGCAGCUCUAAGAGAUUAGAUCACGGAGUGUUGGUGGUGGGAUACGGGUCAGAGGGCAGCAAAGAUUACUGGAUCGUUAAAAACAGCUGGGGCAAGUCCUGGGGAAUGGAAGGCUACAUUCAGAUGAGCAGGAACAAGAAAAACCAAUGUGGUAUCGCCACCAACGCCUGCUAUCCAGUGGUUUAAAGGCUUAUCAAUCCAGCCAUGCAUUGUUAUUCUUUAAAGUCUAAAAAUCUCAAUCCUAAUGCUAUCAAAACAGCUGACAUUAAUUAAUUUCAUUUUUUUUUUGGUAUUUUAAUAUAUGUGUUCUAAUUAUAAAAUUAAUAAAAAAAUUGUCAAAUG